UGGAUCAGUGAUCAUAACUGCUGGUAUAUGAGGCCCAGAUGAUGAAUGACAUGUGUCUGAAACUCUGAGGUCCAA
ensembl:snoRNA